rnacentral:rRNA from 1 species
GACGAACCGUGCGAACGUUGUUCGGAAUUACUGGGCGUAAAGCGUGCGCAGGCGGCGGCUCAAGUCAGGUGUGAAAUCCCCGGGCUUAACCUGGGAAUUGCGCUUGAAACUAGGUCGCUAGAGUGUGGCAGAGGGGGGUGGAAGUUCCGACGUGUAGCAGUGAAAUGCGUAGAGAUGUGGAGGAACACCGAUGGCGAAGGCAGCCUCCUGGGCC